ensembl:lncRNA
UGAAUUCCCAGCUCCCUGGUGGUAUCAGCCCCGAGGGCACUGUCCUGCUUGUCAGAGCCUUACCCUGCUCUCCACCUGUCUGCCCUGUCACCUAAGCGUCACUUCCUCAAGGCCUGCUGUGACACCUACCUUGUUCCUCCUUUGAUGCCCCAAGCUCCUGGUUCUCCUGGCACUGAAUAUACCCCCCCCCCCGCAUUUAAUUGCCAUUGACCACUUGACAGCCUUGUGUUCUCCCCAUGACGUUUCUCAGACUGCAGUCCACCAGCCACCUUAGCCUCGGUGCUCAGGACAUGGGAGGAAGAUGGGGCCGUGAUUCCUAUCAUGUAUGUAGCAGGAAUGUUCAGCCACAGACGUAACACACACACACUCAGACAGAUGUGCAUAUAUAUCUGGCUACUAUGUCACAGGUACAGAGCUGUGUGUGUACGGUGUGUGUGUGUGUGUGUGUGUGUGUGUGUGUGUGUGUACGGUCAUGUACACACACACAGUUACCAGCAAGGCAUCUAAGAGUGUGGUGGUCCUAGCGGCUUCGGCCCCAGGUCUGGAUCCCAGCAGCAGUGCCUACGAGAUGUGGCGCUUGUGCCAUGCAUGACUCUCCUCACCUUCUUUCUUCACGUGCACCAUGUAAACUGUGCCAGCCAGGGCUUUGGGAAGAGACCCAUACAGCACCUCACACAGCGCCUCGCACGGCGCCUGGCACACUCGGGGAAGCAAAGGUGCAUGAGUAAGAAAAACAACCCGACACAGGGCGGGAGGAGGACCGAACUGUGGCCUGUCACAGAAACUGUCGCCAGGACCCCAAACAAACUGGACUCUCAUUACAAUCCAGUCUCCGUGGACUAAUGGGCUCUCCCUCCUCAUCAUCUUCACCUGGCUCUAAGGGUCAAGUCUGAGCAUCGACUCUGUCCAAAGAGGACAUUGUCAGCUGUGCAACUAUUUGAACUGUGAAAUGACAACACCAACAACAAGCUAAUGAGAGAGUCACAGCGGCCCGGAGCUCCACAGCCCACCCUGGGCCUUGUCCGGUGGCCCUGGCUUCUCCCUGGGGCUCCUGCAGCCCUCAGCUGUGCCCAAGUCACCAGCCGGCUCCUUGCCUACUUCCUCUCUGAUGCCCGGCAGUGCAGAACUGCAGAUGUUUCCCACCCUCGUGCCUCUCCAGGUGUGCCCUGUCCACCCGCUGCAGGACCGCUGUGCACCUGUCCACUGCCACGGAGUCAAGCACAGUUUCACACCCAGGGGAGAAACCCAAGAAAUGCUGGGCCAGAGAGGGAGGAAAAGACUGGGAAAAGCCAAGAAUCAGCCCCACGCAGGAAGCCACACUCCCGCCUUGCUCUUUGGCUGCUAAGGAAAGGACCCAGGUGACCUCGUGGCACGGCCGCUCGUCUGUCCUGAAGGCAGGAUGCCACUCUGCUGUCAGGUCGCCUGGUGGGACUCCUUGGCAAGUUGUUCCCAGAAAAAACCCCUGUCAGGGUGAGGAACUCAGGCCGACUUCCCAACACGGGGUGUGGGAGCCUCCAAGCCUCCAGAGGGCCCUUUGUGUGCUCCGCACUGGACGUAAGGCCCAAGUGAGCCGCAGAGGCUCGGCAUGGCACUGCUCGGAGCAAUAGCUGGCUGCAGACUACCACGGGGACCCGGGAGCUCAGGAAAACAGAACCAGGGACUCCCAGAGCAGACAUCAGCACUCGCUCGUUAGCCUCUAGCAGACUGCAGUGUGAUUUAUUGUUAAAUAAGUGGAAAUGGUCCAGACUGAACCCAGAACAAGGCCUUCCUUGCUUUCCACAUUCCUCCACUUCCAUGUGCUUCCCGACCAGAGCUGGGAAAGGCGGAAUGACAGUGAUAGAUGUGAGACUUUUAGAUGGCACCACAGGUUGAGUGUUACACUCAGCACACAGCCUAUCAUUUCCUGAGCUCUUACUGUGUUUCCUAUACACGCUCAGAUAAACCUCAGAACAGAGAAGACAAGAUUGUUACAACUUCAUACACGGUGAGCCAGGGAUUUAGCUCAGUGGUUCCGCCCCCUGCCUCACAAGCACAAGGACCCAAGUUCGAUCCCUGGUACCAAAAAACAACUUCAUACACGGGGAAACUGAGGCUGGGGAAGGUAAAGGAACUUGACUAAGGUAGGCUGGCAAGCAGUGGGUCUGGUCUGAGAACCGGGUCUGUGUGACUUGAAACUCAGUGCUGCCAUUCCUCUCAGGUUCCGCUCUGAAUGCCCAACAGGAAAGGGAGCUGUCAUAAUUGUAAUAACUGGUCAUUUUGCUCGGUGCUGGGGAUCUAAAGGUGAGAGAGGCUGGCUGCUCUGAAGAACUUUACAGUUCUGGGGAGGAGGAGGUUUUAGGACAGACAAUGUCCCAGGCCUUUGGACUUGAAUGUUCUUCCUGCAGACGUCUGCAUCUCGCUGCCAUGGGGAACUGCACAGGCUCGGGGGCUUUGCUGGGUGCCGGCAGGCGACAGACACCCAGGUUAAAGACCAAGGGCUCUGCUGCUCAGGCCGUGGCAGGCGCCAGAGCAUCAGCACCCUGCCCGAGGGCCAGGUGACCCUGCCUGCAUCAGCUCCACGAUUCAGCUUGAUUUUCCUGGGCUUUAUCCACAUGUCCUCAGUGCCUAUCGAACAUGUCAUCCAGCUGGCGUGAACUUGGAUCACGACACGAGUGGCUCCGUAGGACGCGGAGGCAGUAGCAGAGAAAAAGGUUUAUGUCGGCCUCAAGGAAGUACCCAGUCCCCCUUACGCC